rnacentral:rRNA from 1 species
GACAGAGGUGCCGAGCGUUAGGCGGAAUCACUGGGCUUAAAGCGUGUGUAGGCGGGUCGUUAAGUGUCUUGUGAAAUCCCACCGCUCAACGGUGGAACUGCUGGGCAUACUGGCGAUCUUGAGCCACCUAGGGGCAGACGGAACAAGCGGUGGAGCGGUGAAAUGCGUAGAUAUCAGGAGGAACACCGGUGGUGUAGACGGCUUCUGGACCGUAACUGACGCUGAAACACGAAAGCGUGGGUAGCAAACAGG